UACGGAGGGUGCGAGCGUUUAAUCGGAAUUACUGGGCGUAAAGGGUUCGUAGGUGGUUUGAUAAGUUAUCUGUCGAAAGCCCUGGGCUUGAAACCUGGGAAGGCCAGAUAAGACUGUUAGGCUAGAGUAUGGGAGGGGUAGUGGAAUUUCCGGAUGUAGCGGUGAAAUGCGUAGAGAUCGGAAGGAACACCGGUGGCGAAGGCGGCUACCUGGCCUAAUACUGACACUGAAGGACGAAAGCGUGGGAGCAAACAGG
rnacentral:rRNA from 1 species